GAUAACCUAACCUAACAUAACUAUUUUAAAUUUGCUUCUAUCUAUUACAAAAAAGCUAAAACUUAAAUUAAAAAAUAUCUAAUGAAGUUUAAACUUUCAUGUUCAUCAAAAUUUUAUAUGGAAUCUUUAAUAUUAUUUAAAAAUUAUAUUUAGCUUUCUAUAAGUCCUAAUGCUUAAAAUUGUUUAUUUGAAGUUGGCAAACAAUGAAAGUUUUCUAUAAAGUGCACAAAAUAGCUAUAUUAAUUAUAUGUGUAAAGGAGAAAAAAUAUGGCUAAAGUUAUCAUGUUUGUUAAUGCUCUUCUCAUAUUUUUUUCUCUAUAUUUUGUCGUAACCAAUGGUGGUAGACGUGGCGGACUUGGACGUGGUAAUGGUAAUAAUCACGGUCGCAUUCCUUGCGUUGAACACAGUGAUUGUCCAGAGAAGACUUUACCUUUAGUUAUGAAUUGUAUUGACCAUCAUUGUCAAUAUAGAUUGAUAGUCGAGGAUUAAGUGUAGAAAUAAUUAUACCACUUCAAAGAAUAUAACUUUAUUUAUAGUCAUAAUAUUUGUACUUCAUAUUUUACUUUUAAAUAAUCCUAAUGUUUCUCUCGCUUUUCAAA